rnacentral:rRNA from 1 species
AUGAGAGGGAUUCUCGCAUGGAAGAUAUCCGCAACCACUCAGCUAGUAACAUUGAUGAAAACGAACUUGUGGGAUUUUCCAAGCCCAAAGAAGAGGAUGGAGCUUCUCAAAGAUAUGAUCACGCAACUUAUUGGCAAGGAAGCAUUGAAGAAGCAACUUGAAUGGAAAGAAGUGCGAGUAGAGAACCUCGACUGCUAUCUCAGGGAAUGUCUACUUGAGAAGAGGUACCUAAUUGUUCUUGAUGAUAUAUGGAACAUAGAUGAUUGGAAGUGGAUCAAAAGUAUAGCUCUUCCUAUAGGAAACAACAAAGGUAGCCAGAUAAUGGUAACAACACGAGAUAUUAGCUUAGCUGAGGAGUGUACUUUUGAAUCUUCUACACCAUUUAUCUACCACCAUAAACCCCUAGAAACAGAAGAUGCCAUAAAUCUGUUACUAAGGAAGAGUAGAAAAAGUAAGGAAGACAUGAAAAAUGACGAGGACAUGAGGAAAAUAGUUACUAAGAUAGUAAAAAAGUCGGGAUGUUUACCCCUAUCUAUACUCACUAUAGGAGGCUUGCUUGCCACCAGAGUGGUCAACGAGUGGCAAGGUAUUUAUAACCAAAUCCCCUCGGAGCUAGAGCAAAACAGAAGCCUUGAAGCAAUGAGGAGGAUGGUAACUCUAGGUUACAACCACUUGCCUUCUCAUCUCAAAUCAUGUUUUCUGUAUUUAAGCAUAUUCCCAAAGGAUUUUGAAAUCAGAAGGAGGCGUCUGGUAGAAAGAUGGAUAGCCGAGGGGUUUGUUAUAGCCAGGGAUGGGGUCAACGUUGAGGAUGUUGGGAACAGUUACUUCAAUGAACUAAUCAACACUAGCAUGAUUCAGCCAUCAAGAGUUAACAUAGAAGGAAUUGUGAAGAGCUGCAAAGUUCAUGAUAUUGUUCGUGAUGUCUUGAUCUCAGUUUCUAGAGAUGAAAAUUUUUCAUGCUCAACAUUGGAUAAUGUAACCGGCAUGGGAGGAGACAACUUCCGCCAUGUCGCAUACCAGGGCAGUUGGUGCCCAAAUAAAGGCUUGGACUGGAAUCAUGCCCGAUCAUUAACAGUGUUUGGUAAGAGACCCAUGAAGCCAGCACCUUCACUUUGUUCGGCCAACUUCUGA